UGGUCGGCAAUCAGGCGAAGUAGAUCCAGAAAUUUUCUGUUUCUCUCCUGCUUGUACAAGAGGUCAUUUGUGGGAAGACAGUUGACAGUUGGAAGAAAAAAGAUGAUUCUAAGCACACUUAUGCCGUGAGUGCACACCCACCAUCUUUCCUUUCUCAUCUGCCUCGACAAGAGUAACUACAGAAUCGGCUGUGGAGGGAACAACGUUUACACUUCGGAGAUUAUUUGACGAUGGAAGGAUUUAUUGGCAAGGUGAAUGUGGCGUUGUAAGGGGCGCUCAUAGUCGUUCCAACAAGACACGAUUUGCUGACCCAUUAUAAGCGCAAACUCAGGACUUCGGUCGCCCUGCAAGGUGAAUGUGGCGUUGUAAGGGGCGCUCAUAGUCGUUCCAACAAGUCACGAUUUGCUGACCCAUUAUAAGCGCAAACUCGGGACUUUGGUCGCCCUGCAAGGUAUUCAUGCAUGUUUUCAGAAUGUCCAUGCACAUUUAAGACAUGGAAUGCUUUAAUUUUGCAUCACGGUGCAUGAAACAGUUGGUGAAAAAAUUCAAAAAACGGAAAAACUUGACUG